AUGCUCCCCGGCAAAAGCCACGGUCCAGGAAGGGCAAUGGAAGUGCAGGCAGGGCCACGUCCCCAUCAGCAUCAGCACAGGGAAAACUGCAGUUCUAUGGGGACGGUCCUCAGGGUCCUUGUACAACACGGGGCAGGGAGGGGGGCAUCCGGGAGACCCAGCGGGCACGGCCCUGCCAGUCCUGGUGCCUGGAGCACACAGGUGCAAUCAUGGCGUCCAGUUCAGAUCGGAGGCCGUGGUGGGGUAGAGCACCAGACUCCCCACCCAGGCCCACUUCUGCCCCUCCCUGACCCUGGAGCUUGCGCCUCAGUCUUCUUAUCUGGGGAAUGGGGGUGGUCAAGUGGCACUUGCCAAAUGCUCAGAGCACUGUGUGGCUCUACCAUUGCGAGUGGGCUGAUGCACUUGUCUCAACGUGGCUUCCAUACAAAGGUCCCCUCACCUGUCUCUCACCCCGUCUCUCUCCCGGGACCCGCCAGCCUGCCUAACCGUGAGCCAAGUUACUGUCUGCUAUUGUUGCUCUCAGUUCUGCUCUGGCUGGAGUUCUGCCUGGCAAGAGCCAAAGCUGAGGAUCAGCCACGGCGCAAGAAGGAAGAGGUGCCUGCAGGAAGUCAUCCCAAGAAAAGGGGACAUUUGGAAAGACGGACUGAGGGCAAGGGGUCAAAUGCCAUGACCCGGCUUAGGUCAACUUGUGACUGGUGCACGUGUGACAGAAGCAUCCCUCUAGGUCAGGGGGCAUUGGGAGCCCCAUGCUGGUACCCACUCCCCAGCGGGAGUCCAGGAGGUAUCUGGGAGCCCCUUGUCACAGCAGGGAGCCCCUCGUCACAGCUGGGAGCCCCUCGUCCCUCCUCACAGCAGGGAGCCCCUCGUCACAGCUGGGGGCCCCUCGUCACAGCUGGGAGCCCCUCGUCAGAGCUGGGAGCCCCUCGUCAGAGCUGGGAGCCCCUCGUCAGAGCUGGGAGCCCCUCGUCCCUCCUCACAGCUGGGAGCCCCUCGUCAGAGCUGGGGGCCCCUCGUCACAGCUGGGGGCCCCUCGUCCCUCCUCACAGCUGGGAGCCCCUCGUCACAGCUGGGGGCCCCUCGUCACAGCUGGGAGCCCCUCGUCAGAGCUGGGAGCCCCUCGUCAGAGCUGGGAGCCCCUCGUCACAGCUGGGAGCCCCUCGUCACAGGAGUGACCCUGACGAUCAGAUGCUCAAAUGGCAGAGGCACUGUCAGGUGGGGUCACGGGUACCACGCAUCCCUCUUGGGUACAGAACACAGCAGUGGGCCCUGGGGGGUUUGGCACAGAGAGGAGAGACCCUGAGAUCAGCGGCUGUGAUGAGAGCCACACUGGGUCCCAUCACGGGGCCCAGGUAA
rnacentral:lncRNA from 1 species